rnacentral:rRNA from 1 species
GAUGAACGCUGGCGGCGUGCCUAAUACAUGCAAGUCGAGCGAACAUACUCUGAGCUUUCUCCUCUGACAUUUUCGCCGCACGGGUGUGUAACACGCGGAUAACCCCUCCCUCAUACUGUGAUACCUUCGUUAAACCCGAUCUCUUACACCUUAUAACAUUGAACCCCACGGUUUUCUAGUUUAAGACUUUUUUUUUGUCACUCUUAGAUAUAUCUUCGCCGCGCAUUAGCUAGUUGGUGAGGUAAGGGCUUACCAAGGAGACGAUGCAUAGCCGACCUGAGAGGGUGAUCGGCCACACUGGAACUGAGACACGGUCCAGACUCCUACGGGAGGCAGCAGUAGGGAAUCUUCCGCAAUGGGCGAAAGCCUGACGGAGCAACGCCGCGUGAGUGAUGAAGGUCUUCGGAUCGUAAAACUCUGUUAUUAGGGAAGAACAAAUGUGUAAGUAACUAUGCACGUCUUGACGGUACCUAAUCAGAAAGCCACGGCUAACUACGUG